rnacentral:rRNA from 1 species
GCGAGCGGGAGAGCUCAAUUUGAAGCUGGCGUCUUCGGCGUCCGCGUUGUAAUCUCGAGACGUGUUUUCCGUGCGGCUCUCGGACGAGUCCCUUGCUUGGAACAGGGCAUCGGAGAGGGUGAAAAUCCCGUACUUGCCAUGGAAGUACCGUGCUUUGUGAUACACGCUCCAAGAGUCGAGUAGUUUGGGAUUGCUGCUCAAAGUGGGUGGUAGACUCCAUCUAAAGCUAAAUAUCGGGGAGAGACCGAUAGCGAACAAGUACCGUGAGGGAAAGAUGAAAAGCACUUUGGAAAGAGAGUUAAAAGUACGUGAAAUUGUCGAAAGGGAAGCACUUGAAGUCAGCCAUGCUGCUUGAGACUCAGCCUGGCUUUUGCUUGGUGUAUUUCUCGGUAGCAAGCCAGCAUUGGUUUGUGUCGUCGGAGAAGCGUAUGGGGAAUGUGGCAUCCUCGGAUGUGUUAUAGCCCUGUGCAGGAUA